AUCUGAAAUAGUAGCCUAUUAGUAUGGUAAUUUUUUAUGAAACUAAAUAUAAUAUUCUGUCUUUUAUUAGAAAGAAAGAAAGAAAGAAAGAAAGAAAGAAAGAAAAAGUAAGAAAGCAUACUGUGUAAUUUCACAAGUGUGUCAUGAGGUCUGAACUUCUGAUCAUGCGCUCAUGCACAUCUCCUUAUCUAAAUGAGUUUCUGUCACAAACCUCAGUAAACAUAUCAGGCUGUCUGUUGAUAUUAAACCCAUACAGUAACUAAACAACUAGUCCCCAGCAUUAUCGCACGACUGUAAUAACAGUCAAGGGGAAUUCAUAACACAAACUCGGUGUCUGUCUUUAACAGACCCUACUGAACACUUCCCUGCUUAGUCACACACACACACACGCACACACUGUAUGAGUCUCUGCGCCUCCCAGCGUGUGUGUACGCGCACCAAUCGGCCACACACUUGACCGAGUCUCGGUCGACAAGGGCGGGGCUCCAGGUCUAUGAAACUGAAUUACCGGCAGACUAAAACUAAACUUACCCGAGCCGUUCGCUUCUCUCCGUGUGUCGUGCGUGGGAAUGUACUCGCAGCUGCGUGGGAACAAUCAUAUAAACUGCUCUACAAUGUCUUAACAUUGGAGUUUUAUUUAUCACCGAGAGCCUCAAGACUGAGAGACUUUGACACAUGCAGCUGUUUAUUAUUUUGCUCAGCUUUAACGUUGGACAAAAUGAAAUAAAUCGACAUUUCACAGGGAUCUGAAGAUUUCAGCUGUUAACAUCUUCCCCCGUCCCGAAGUGAUUGUGAAUCGAAUAAGGCUGGCAGGUCUAGGGAGAGGCAGGCAGCAUGGCUGAACCCAGACGCGACAGCACCAGCAGCCUGCAGCGCAAGAAGCCACCAUGGCUAAAACUGGACAUUCCCACCGCUCAGGUGUCCAUGGAUGAAGCUCCAGCUUUUAUUCCGCCCAUGAAGAGGCAUGGUUUCCAUCGCAGCAUCAGUAUGCCUGUGGAAACGUCUCAUCUCCCCUCUCCUCCACGUGACAUCUUUGACCCCCAUCGAGCUGCUUUCCAGCGUCAGUCUUCAAUCACCCAAACCAUCAAGAGCAGCAGGAGGGUGCACUUUGAGAGGAUUAACACUGUGCCCAUUAAGGGUCACCGUGCAGGGCGGCGUGGUUUCAGAAGGCAUCAGUCCCUCUCCAGAACCCUGCUCAGGGGCACAGCGGACUGGUUCGGGGUCAGUAAGGACGGCGACGCCACGCAGAAAUGGCAGAGGAAGAGCCUGCGACACUGCAGCCUGCGCUACGGCAAGCUGAAACCUCAGGUGAUCCGUGAGAUGGAGCUGCCCAGCCAGGACAACAUCUCCCUGACCAGCACAGAAACCCCUCCGCCUCUAUACGUACCCUCAUCUCAGCAUGGCAUGCAGAAGAUUGUGGACCCGUUGGCACGAGGGCGUGCGUUUCGCAUGGUGGAGGAGGUAGAUGGCUACAGUGUGCCUCAAACUCCCAUGACCCCCGGCGGUGCAUCCCUCUGGUCCUUCAACAGCUCGCGCUCGGGCCUAAACCGCAUCCCACGCAGACGCAAGCGCGAGUCUGUGGCCAAGAUGAGCUUCAGGGCAGCAGCAGCUCUGGUCAAGGGUCGUUCGCUGCGUGAAGGCACGCUAAGACGAGCUCACAGGCGCAGCUUCACACCUGCUAGCUUUAUUGAGGAAGAUGUUGUGGACUUUCCAGAUGAACUCGACACAUCGUUCUUCGCCAGGGAUGCCCUGAUGCAGGAGGAGAUGUCCACCUUUCACGAUGAGGUGUUUGAGUCUCCAUCAGACUCCACCAUGAAGGACGUGGACAGCAAACAGCUGGAUGAGUCGGAGCUAACCGGCAGCGCGCUGGACAAAAGCGAGUUAGAGAGGAGUCACUUAAUGCUGUGAGAUUCACAACGCAUUUACAUGAUGCCAUAUUUCCUCCCACAAUGAUAUCAAAACAUAUUUUACAGUAGAUAAUUAUUAGGUAUUUCAGAAA
ensembl:lncRNA